rnacentral:hammerhead_ribozyme from 1 species
AUCCAGAGGACAAGUCCCAAAUAGGACGAAAUGUGCAUCCUGGAU